rnacentral:misc_RNA from 1 species
AUUGCACACACAUGAGUUGCAGCAAACGGCCCCGACGCGAACCGCAACAUUGUCCCCUUCCGAGUGUCCCGGCCGGCCGGUCGCGGUCGCUGGCUCCUUUUCUCCUUCGGGGGUUUUGGGGGUCCGCGCGCCGCCACCACCGCCGCCGGGGCCCUUGAGAACCACACAAUCACAUCUUUUUGAUUGCGCGAUGCAUCAACGCUUUGACACAUGACUGAGUCCCAUUACGAUACUACUUCGGAAGGGGGGGUUCGUCCCCCCCCGCCCCGAGUUGUGUGUUGGAAACAAUAACCAAAAACAACUCUCAGCAACGGAUAUCUUGGCUCUUGCAACGAUGAAGAACGCAGCGAAAUGCGAUACGUAGUGUGAAUUGCAGAAUUCCGCGAAUCAUCGAGUCUUUGAACGCAAGUUGCGCCCGAGGCUUGUCCGAGGGCAUUUCCGCUAGAGCGUCACCGCGCUCCCCCACCGAUCCACCGAGUGCUCUUCCGAGUGGCACUUGGGCGGAUUCGAGUGGAAGUGGCCAUCCCGAUGGGAGGGGGCGGCUCCGGCCGUCACCAGUCGGGUCGGCUGAAAUGGAUAGAAUUUGGCCGUCGCGGCGACGGAGCCCGCGAUCAGGUGAUCCGAGCGAAAGCCCGGAACUCAAACGUGCGUGGCUGCGUCGCCCACUACAUCGUCACGAUGUUGGAACGAGUUCGCGAGUGAGAAGCAGGUCUGCGCGUUCGGCCCCCCCGGAGUUCCGCUCCGGGGGCUUUGGGUCGGAGCGCGCGCGUCACGCAUCAGA